AGCCUGUACAGUGUAUGCCCGCUCAAAGUCCUCUCACCAACCACCUGCCGGCCUGCUCCAAUCCCUGCCAGUCCCUGGUCGGCCCUGGUUCCUCAUUGCCCUCGAGUUUGUCACCAGAUUUCCACCUUCCUAAGCCACUGAAACUGUCUUCCACCUGCAUGGAAUCCGUCCUGACAUAGUUUUUGACCAGGGACCCCAGUUCAUCUCUCAGGUUUAGAAGGCUUUCUUUCAAGCCCUUGGAGCCAUGGAUAAUCUCCAGUCUGCCUGCCUUCCAGCUGGCCAGCUCACCUGCCAACCCGCUUGCCAGCUCUCCAGCCAUACCCACGCUACCUCCGCUAGCUACGCUGUUGCUUGCCAUUCCUCACCAACCCUCUGCCUCUGCUCCAGCCACAUUCCCAUCACCACUCCAUUCCUACUCUU